rnacentral:rRNA from 1 species
AUUGAACGCUGGCGGCAGGCCUAACACAUGCAAGUCGAGCGGAUGAAGGGAGCUUGCUCCUGGAUUCAGCGGCGGACGGGUGAGUAAUGCCUAGGAAUCUGCCUGGUAGUGGGGGAUAACGUCCGGAAACGGGCGCUAAUACCGCAUACGUCCUGAGGUAGAAAGUGGGGGAUCUUCGGACCUCACGCUAUCAGAUGAGCCUAGGUCGGAUUAGCUAGUUGGUGGGGUAAAGGCCUACCAAGGCGACGAUCCGUAACUGGUCUGAGAGGAUGAUCAGUCACACUGGAACUGAGACACGGUCCAGACUCCUACGGGAGGCAGCAGUGGGGAAUAUUGGACAAUGGGCGAAAGCCUGAUCCAGCCAUGCCGCGUGUGUGAAGAAGGUCUUCGGAUUGUAAAGCACUUUAAGUUGGGAGGAAGGGCAGUAAGUUAAUACCUUGCUGUUUUGACGUUACCAACAGAAUAAGCACCGGCUAACUUCGU